rnacentral:lncRNA from 14 species
GGAGAUUCCUGUUUAUACAGGGACCAUUAUUCAUUCAUCUGAAAGCCAAAGGGAGGGCCCACAAAGUUCUCUUUAGAACAUUCUGACUGUGCCAGGAUGGUUACAACAUCUCAAACAAGAAUGUUAAAAGAAUUAGCAAACUUAGAGCAGAGUGUUUGUGGUUUACCUAUUAGGUUCCUUCCAGGCCUUAACAGUGCAUCUCAUAGAACAUCUUACAAUUGGAAAAACCUUCAACAUCGACAAACACGGGCUGUUGCUGUCGUUCAGAGUGAUUCCCUAGCAUGCACAAGGUCCUGGAUUUGAUACCCAGCACCACGAACACCUUCACAUUGCUACUGGGUUCCCGCGCAUCCUCGGAGUUCUCAGCUUUUCGGGUCCUGGACCCCGCAACGUGACUGUCAAGAAGAGCGUGAUCUUCUGUGCCACCGGCAGAACCGGGCUCACCACACUGGCGCAGGCAGUGCAAGCAGGUUACAAGGUGACAGUUCUGGUUCGAGACUCCAGCAGGCUGCCGUCAGAGGGGCCCCAGCCAGCCCACAUGGUGGUAGGAGAUGUUCAGCAGGCAGCCGAUGUGGACAAGACUGUGGCUGGGCAGGAUGCCGUCAUCAUGCUACUAGGCAUUGGCAACGACCUCAGUCCCACUACAGGAAUGUCCGAGGGCACCUGGGACAUUGUGGCAGCCAUGAAGGCACAUGGAGUGGACAAGGCCGUGGCCUGCACCUUGGCCCUCCUACUCUGGGACCCGAUCAAGUGCUCCCACGCCUACAGGACCUGACCGAUGACCACAUUAGGAUGCAUAAGAUUCUGCAGGAGUCGGGUCUGAAAUGCGUGGCUGUAAUGCCCCCACACAUUGGGUACCAACCACUAACCGGGGCCUACACAGUGACCCUGGAUGGACAAGGGCCCUCGAGGGUCAUAUCCAAGCAUGACCAGGGCCACUUCAUGCUUCUGUGCCUCACCGCCCAUGAGUAAGACAGACACAAGACCUACCCCUCCCACCAGUAUGACUAGGACCCUGACCCAGGGUCCCAUCCUGAGAAAUGGCAUACAUGGACGGAUCAAUAAAUUUUUAGCCAAGAACUUAAAAAAAAAAAAAAAAAGAAUGGUUCCCCCCACUCCAAACCAGAACAUUGUUUUCAUUGAACAAUAACUUUCCUAUUUACCCUGCUUCUAGACUCUGGUAACUUUUAGACUAUUUACUAGCUAACUUAAUUUUUAUCUUUUAAAUGUUUACUAUAAACCAAGCCACAUUAUGUUCUUUUGUGUGUGCCUUAUUUCAUUUAGAGUAUUUAUUUUCAAGAUUCAAUUUUACUGUAACAUGUAUCAAAACUCCAUUUCUCUGGAUAGUUGUUGGAUAAUAUUCCAUUGUUUUAAUAUACCGCAUUCUGCAUGUGUAUUCAUGUAGCUGAUCCCAGUUAUUGCUACUCAAUUUCACUCCUUGCUACCGGCCCCACCAAUGUUCUGGGCUCCCUAAUGAAAGACACACACACACACACACACACACACACACACACACACACACACACACACUUUAUAUAUAUUUUUUAAAGAUUUACUUGUUUGUUUUAUGUAAGUACACGGUACACUGUCAUUGUCUUCAGACACACUGAAAGAUCGGGUUCCAUUACAGAUGGUUGUGAGCCACCAUGUGGUUGCCGGGAAUUGAACUCAGCACCUCUGGAAGAGCAGUCAGGACUCUUAACCGCUGAGCCAUCUCUCCAGGCCCACACUUUAUAUUUUAAUAUGCCUUUAAUAGCUCAACGGUUGGGCCACUUCUAAGCUCUGUGUGGCUAGUACACUCCCCUCCGAUAUCCCUGAGUUAUUACUUGCACGGAGCCAUAUUGGAUUUGGGCCUAGCCGCUUUUUGAACUGCAGGGUUCAAAGUGACUAGGUGACUCUGGGCUGUUUGGCUACAGAGACCCACCCCUAAGAUGACUGCCUUAAGUCUUAAGAUUGUUGAAUGAAAGCCUCUCCCAUGAAUUUACGGCACAGGAAGAUAACAUUCAAGGGAUGCCUCAGCUCCCAUAGCAGAUACCUGUUACCUCCUGAAUCAACACCCAGUGUCUCCACCGCCUGACCUCAACGUCUACCGCCUGACCUCUUUGCCUCCAGCUAUCACUACCUAUAUCUGCACCUCCCUCUCCUCUGUGUUUCACAAAGGACACUCCCCCUACCUGAAAGCCUUAAAAGCUGUAACGUUCACCCCAAUAAACGAGACCUUGACAACAGAACUUUUGCUUGGUCUUCUUCUUUUCUUCACCCCCAUUUUGGCCCACAGGUAGAAAGCCUCUUCGGGACCCUGAAUAACUGGGUCCCCGCUGGCAGGGACAAUUACUCACUAAAAUCUCUACUCCAUCUUUGCUACCCUGGACCCAGACCUGCAGCCCCUCGGCUGCAUUCCCUGGCACCUACUUGACAUCUAUUUUCUCUGCCCUCUGCACCUCUUCGGCAUGUCUCUCUUCUCUCUUCCCAGGCUUAGAGACUGUCCCUUCAUGCUCCUUCCUCAGCCCCUUGCUUAGAAAUCCUGAAGUCCUGCCUCUUUCUCCCCGCUCAGCCUUUGGCCACUGGCAAGUUUAUUUACCAGUCAAAACCAGCUGGGGGCAGGGUCCCUCAGCAGCUUGAGCAAUUUUGGGGACCAUAAUUAACAUAACACAAGCAGCACAAAAUUCACAACACACUCAACUGCUGAUUGAAUCCUUUCCAAGUUUUUUAAAAAAUAUUUAUCUAUUUAAUGUAUAUGAUCAUUGUAUAUGUAUAUGGUGCUGACACACCAGAAGAGGGCAUUGGAUUCAAAUGCAGGUGGUUGUGAGCCACUAUGUGGUUAUUGGGAAUCGAACUCAUGACCUCUGGAAGAGCAGUCAGUGCUCUUAACCACUGAGCCAUCUCUCCAACCCUCUUUCCAAGUUUUUGCCAUUGAGAGUAAUGCUAAAAUGUGUGGCAAUGUUUUUUUCCUGAAAAAUGCUUCUUAAAGUUCGCUUUUACAAAUCAAGCUUUUGCCCAACUUCAACCAAAUUUAGUAAUGUGCUUUGAUCAUUUAUAACUAAGCCCUUAUUCUGCUUAUAUACUGUGUUUUUGACCUGUUUGGAAUUAUAUGGCCUCUAGGAAAAACGAUGCGACCAAUCUUAGUAUAUUUUCCAAUGCCAUCAACUCCUCCAAGCACAGGUGAGCACACAGCUCUCAUUGUACCAUAUUCUGUACAUUUCCUUGGUGAACCAUCCAUGUCUCUGACUCAGAACAACAUGUAUGCAUGAGAUGUGGUGACAACCAAGUCUGAGACCAUUCUCUGGAAGCAACGAAGCAUUGGAAGUGAUGUCCUAGAGAACUCCAAAAUGUUGGAAAUGCCACGUGGGUAUAAAGUGAUAUCUGGUGUGGCUUUGUGUGCUUUUCUCAGACAGGUGGUCCCGAAGAAUGAUUUUAUCCCUCAUGAGAUGCCUUUAAGGUUGAUUAAGAUAAAAGUUUCUCACCCCUUCUGCUUCCUGUGUUUGCUGUACUCAAUAUACAGACAGGGUGCCCCUGUUUUUAUAUUAGACAUCACUUAGAUUAGACCUUUCUCUUCCAAGCUAGACUUCUUUUAGAUUAGACUACUGUUAAAUGAGAAGAAGAGAGAUCAAAACAUUUCUUGAGGAAAAGAUACCAAGAGUUAGAGUCUUUUUUCUUUUAUGCAUCACAAAUAUGAACAUUUUGGUACAAAUUCUCAUUAUAAAAUGUUGUGGUUUGCCCUGGAGUUAUCUGUAUUUUGAUGCUAAUUUCACUGCCUCAAGGAUGGCUGCUUAGUCACAUCUUCAGGACUCAGGUGACUUCACCAGAACCUUCUCCCCAUUGAAUUUGUAAAGUACAGGUGAGGGGCAGGUACAGGAUAGAAGGAGGCCUGUCACUGGAUGAGAAGGAAGGAUGGGCGGGUAAGAAGUUUGAAGGAAGAGGAGGGACAGCAGAGAAGCCAUGGAAGCACAGCAUGGAGGCUGACGUUAAGAGUCCACGCUGUACCUUUUCAGGUCGUUAUGAAUGUUCUUGAGGGAUGGUUGCGUAUUGGGAUUUGUAUCUUUAGGUGGGCAAUUAUAUCUUAUCAUUUGGAUCAAAGGUUAUUGUGUUGUGUGUUCUUUCAUGUAGUGAUUUAAGUGUAAGAGAGUGUGUGGUGGCUGGAGACACUGGGCCACCACGGAAUCAGGAUGUGUGUCUGGCAGGGAAACCUGCCUUGGGAACUAGAUAGGUAGAGAGAUUGCUGCCAGGCUCAGAGAGAGGCCUUCGGCAGUGUGAUAUGGGAUGGAGCAAAGUGGGUGAGCGGCUUUGCUGACUGAGACUUAAGAUAUCUAGCAGAUAUCUUGGGGCACUGUGAUGUAGACCUAGAGCAGGAAAAGGAUAGCAUUUCAUUUUUUACUUUUACUUACUAACUUACUUAUAGAUCUUCUUGUGGCCUAAAACUCAAUACACAGCUGAAUAUGAC